AGUGUCAAGAGAUGGGAAUCGAGCCCACAGUGUUCCGCUUACCAGGCAGAUGCCAUGUCCACUAGGCUAAUCGAUAU